CACGUCCAGGUAGCCGGGCAUCGCCUGGUAGGAGCUGGCGAAGCUGGGAUAGAAGGCGAACUCCUUGGCCCUGGAGGACAGGUCGUCACCCGGCAGGGCGCCCGACGGCUCGGAUCUCCAGACUUGUCGGGCUUCCUGUGCUCAGUUUGGUGCCUAAGUAGAGGCACCCCUUUCCAGAGAGCAUCUCCGUGGGAUUGAGCCAAGUUCCCUUUCAGCACAGGGCCUCCCUGAGGAGAAGAGGUAAUAAAGAGAGAGAGAAAAAAGGGGAGAGGGGCUACAGCAUCUCCCUCUUUCCUGCCUCUGCCAAAGAUUUUAAAUGCUGGGUGCUCUUGUCCAGACCGCGGCCAGGAAAUAGCCUCGGGCUAAGCCGAACCCGCUGGAUCCCUUCAACUUGAGAGCAAAUGGCCAGGUCUGUACUGAGAUCUGGCCCACGGGCUGCCUCCCUUCUACCGGUAGGGGCAAAGUGGUGUUGGACGAUGGAGAGCGCCCUGGCGUGGGUGACUUAGGAUAAGAGACGCAAUCUUUAUCAGGGUGCUCUUCAUUCGGAAGGGUCACCUCAGAGUUCCAGAAAGCAGGCUUUGGGCUGGGCUGGCAGUAGGAGGAAAAAUAUAUCAGGAAGCUUGGAACAUGAGCAGGCUAGCUUGAGUGUGUGUUGAGGGCGAUGAUGGUGGAUGGAGGAGAGAGGAGUGGAGAGGAAGGUGGGUCUUGCUGGGAGCCGGCUCUUGGCUAGGAAACUGGCUUCUCUGCCUCCGGAGUCCCAAGGUCAAGGUAAAAGGAGGAAAGCAAACAUGGCCUGGCUAGUCUAGACUGGGUCGUGUGACCUUGGCCCCCCGCGUCUGCCUGCGGCCUGCCUGGUGGGGGUAGGUGGGUGGAGAGGUCUGCCGUUUUUUCCCUCCGCAGGUGUAGGGGUGGUGCGGAGGCCCUAGCUUCCCCUCCUGUGCAGUGCGGGGUCCGGUUCCGCGUGGAGAACCCGGGGCGACGUGGACCGGGCUGAGUGGGGCAGCCGGGCGAAACAAAGGGCCUGAAAUGGCCACCCCGUUCCUGGGGCUCCCUCCCGGGUCCGGGAAUGGUCUAGCUCAACGCCAGAUGCGUCUUCACGGGCCAGAACCCAAAGACGGGUCCCCCAGCCUUUGGGAGUAAGGGGCAGAACAGCAGAAAGACUCUGGGUGCAGGCGGCCCAGCAAUAAAUAAAAUCAAUAGUAGGUUCUUUUCCAGAUUUAUAUAAGGGCAUUAACUAUUCCUAUUGCAAUGAGAUAUAGAUUUAACCCAGCAAUUUUACAAUUCCAUUUAUUAGGGGCUUUAUGCGGCCAAAAUUUAGCGACGAGCGGAAAGAGAGGGAAAAGUUCCCUUCGUCAAGGAGACCAGCCGAAGAAGAUGUAGGCCCCCCAGAGACCUGAGAGAGUGGGAGGCGAAAGUUCAGGACUCAGGGCGUUGAAAGCGCCAGAGAAGGGUCCGCAUGCUCUGAACGAUUUCCCACUCUUUCGCUGGGUUCCCCAAGACCUUCCGCGCCUGAAACUGCCGACUCCAAGACUGGGGCGCACCCGGAGCAGGGAGGGAGGCGACGAGGCGAGAGCCUGCGGCCGGGCGCCUCAAAGUAGAGCCUUGUUGGUUAAUUAACUUUAAGCCUGGGGUCGCUUCUUCCUCCUCCCCCCGAAAAAAAAGAUGUGGAUCUCGCUGAGACACAAAUAAAACCAAAUUAAACACUCCAGGAGAAUAUGCGCUACUGGAAACAUAGUAAUUACAUCGCCGAAGCGAUGAGGCGAUCCCGCCCUAGAAAGCCAGGCGCUGAAACCCUCGGCUUCGGCGCUCACCCCCCGCCGCUGAGCCACACCUCGCCCCGCCGGGGGCUUCGCGGGUGGGCCGAUGGAGCUGGACUGCGGACCUGGUUGAGAGGAAAUCAGGAGGAAUGAAUAGGAAUGUGACCCUUCGGUCUCUAGCUGUGAUGAUGUUGGUGUGUGCGGGAAAGGACGGAGCAUUUCAUCACACCAAAGGAAAAUGGAAAACGGCCCCUCUAGCCCCGUCGAGAAGCCCCGGGCUGCGCUCUCCGCUCUUUUUUCAAAGGGACAUUUGUGAUGGCGAGGCCACGGGAGCCGCUCUGCCCUCAGCUUCCUCUAUGGACUGAGUUCCCCGCUAAGUUCAACUCUGAAAUUCUUGUUUUCAAAGACUCCAAUAUAUAAAGGAGAUAUUCAAUGUGCCGUCUCACUGGAAGUGUUUGUGUGUGUGUGUGUUUGCACGGUAUACGUGUGCACACGCCCGGCCUGUGGGUCUGUGAUUGUGGGCAGGCUCCAUGCACUGUUCCAGCACAUGCCCUUGUGGAUACGGCCCAAGUGUAUUCAUGAAAAUACCCAGCCCUCGCCGAAAUCCUCUCUAUGCAAAUAAAGAUCUCUGCUGGUCUGUUUAUUUCUCUG